GGCUUAACACAUGCAAGUCGAGGGGUAUAUGUCUUCGGAUAUAGAGACCGGCGCACGGAUGCGUAACGCGUAUGCAAUCUACCUUUUACAGGGGAAUAGCCCAGAGAAAUUUGGAUUAAUGCCCCAUAGUAUUAUGAAAUGGCAUCAUUUUAUAAUUAAAGUCACAACGGUAAAAGAUGAGCAUGCGUCCCAUUAGUUAGUUGGUAAGGUAACGGCUUACCAAGACAAUGAUGGGUAGGGGUCCUGAGAGGGAGAUCCCCCACACUGGUACUGAGACACGGACCAGACUCCUACGGGAGGCAGCAGUGAGGAAUAUUGGACAAUGGGCGCAAGCCUGAUCCAGCCAUGCCGCGUGCGGGAAGACGGUCCUAUGGAUUGUAAACUGCUUUUAUACAGGAAGAAACACUCCGACGUGUCGGAGCUUGACGGUACUGUAGGAAUAAGGAUCGGCUAACUCCGUGCCAGCAGCCGCGGUAAUACGGAGGAUCCAAGCGUUAUCCGGAAUCAUUGGGUUUAAAGGGUCCGUAGGCGGUUUAAUAAGUCAGUGGUGAAAUCUGGUCGCUCAACGAUCAAACGGCCAUUGAUACUGUUAGACUUGAAUUAUAAGGAAGUAACUAGAAUAUGUAGUGUAGCGGUGAAAUGCUUAGAUAUUACAUGGAAUACCAAUUGCGAAGGCAGGUUACUACUUAUGGAUUGACGCUGAUGGACGAAAGCGUGGGGAGCGAACAGGAUUAGAUACCCUGGUAGUCCACGCCGUAAACGAUGGAUACUAGCUGUUGGGCGCAAGUUCAGUGGCUAAGCGAAAGUGAUAAGUAUCCCACCCUGGGGAGUACGUUCGCAAGAAUGAAACUCAAAGGAAUUGACGGGGGCCCGCACAAGCGGUGGAGCAUGUGGUUUAAUUCGAUGAUACGCGAGGAACCUUACCAAGGCUUAAAUGUAGAUUGACAGGACUGGAAACAGUUUUUUCUUCGGACAAUUUACAAGGUGCUGCAUGGUUGUCGUCAGCUCGUGCCGUGAGGUGUCAGGUUAAGUCCUAUAACGAGCGCAACCCCUGUUGUUAGUUGCCAGCGAGUCAUGUCGGGAACUCUAACGAGACUGCCAGUGCAAACUGUGAGGAAGGUGGGGAUGACGUCAAAUCAUCACGGCCCUUACGCCUUGGGCUACACACGUGCUACAAUGGACGGUACAGAGAGCAGCCACUGCGCAAGCAGGAGCGAAUCUACAAAACCGUUCUCAGUUCGGAUCGGAG
rnacentral:rRNA from 1 species